rnacentral:rRNA from 1 species
GACGAACGCUGGCGGCGUGCUUAACACAUGCAAGUCGAGCGGUAAGGCCCUUUCGGGGGUACGACGAGCGGCGAACGGGUGAGUAACACGUGGGUGACCUGCCCUUAGCUCUGGGAUAAGCCUGGGAAACUGGGUCUAAUACCGGAUAUGACUCCAUGACGCAUGUUGUGGGGUGGAAAGCCUUGUGCGGCUAGGGAUGGGCCCGCGGCCUAUCAGCUUGUUGGUGGGGUGAUGGCCUACCAAGGCGACGACGGGUAGCCGGCCUGAGAGGGCGACCGGCCACACUGGGACUGAGACACGGCCCAGACUCCUACGGGAGGCAGCAGUGGGGAAUCUUGCGCAAUGGGCGAAAGCCUGACGCAGCGACGCCGCGUGGGGAUGACGGCCUCGGUU